UCCCCGUUACCGGGGCAGUCUAGCUAGAGAAAUCCAACUAACUAAAAGGGUUGCGCUCGUUAAAGGACUUAACCUAACAUCUCACGACACGAGCUGACGACGGCCAUGCAUCACCUGUCUCUACGGCCCGAAGGCACUCCCUCCUUUCGGAGGGAUGAGUAGGAUGUCAAACCUGGGUAAGGUUCUACGCUUAUCAUCGAAUUAAACAACACGCUCCACCGCUUGUGCGGGUCCCCGUCAAUUCCUUUAUGUUUUAGCCUUGCGGCCGUACUCCACAGGCGGGAUGCUUAACGCGUUAGCUUCGCUACUACCAGGGUCGAUACUGAUAACAGCUAGCAUCCAUCGUUUACGGCGUGGACUAC
rnacentral:misc_RNA from 1 species